rnacentral:rRNA from 1 species
UAGUCCACGCUGUAAACGAUGUCUACUAGCUGUUUGUGACUAUAUGUCGCGAGUAGCGCAGCUAACGCACUAAGUAGACCGCCUGGGGAGUACGGCCGCAAGGUUAAAACUCAAAUGAAUUGACGGGGGCCCGCACAAGCGGUGGAGCAUGUGGUUUAAUUCGAUGCAACGCGAAGAACCUUACCAUCCCUUGACAUCCAGAGAAUCUGUUAGAGAUAGUAGAGUGCCUUCGGGAACUCUGAGACAGGUGCUGCAUGGCUGUCGUCAGCUCGUGUCGUGAGAUGUUGGGUUAAGUCCCGCAACGAGCGCAACCCUUGUCCUUAGUUGCCAGCACGUAAUGGUGGGAACUCUAAGGAGACUGCCGGUGAUAAACCGGAGGAAGGUGGGGAUGACGUCAAGUCUUCAUGGCCCUUAUGGUCUGGGCUACACACGUGCUACAAUGGCAAAUACAAUGAGCAGCGAUCCCGCGAGGGUCAGCUAAUCUA